GGGAGGCUAGGGAUAGCAAGCCAGUAAUUAAUAAUAGGCUCUUCUCGUCGAGGGAUCAGGUUAAGGGUAGGCCAAGAAAGUUUGCAUAACAAUUAGAUAAUCAAGCACAUUAAACAAGAGGAGUAGAUAAGAGGGAGCGAAUAAGAUGAAAUUGUCAACCCCCAACAACUCCAUUCAUCCAUAGUCUUUUUCGUCAAUUGAAUCAAAU
rnacentral:lncRNA from 1 species